CUCCAUGGAUGGUAUAGAAGAUGGCCAUGAACAUACCAAAAAACUCUCUGCAGCUGCCGCAAGAAAACCCUCCAAGGGUGGCUGGAAUUCGGCCAUUUUCAUCAUUGUUGUGGAAGUAGCAGAGAGAUUUGCUUUCUACGGUUUGUCUGGAAAUCUCAUAACAUACCUCACAAAUGAUCUCCAUGAGUCCACAGCCACCGCAGCAGCCAAGAACGUCAACACCUGGAUUGGUGUCUCCUCCAUCUUCCCUAUACUCGGAGCAUUUCUUGCCGAUUCCUUUCUUGGCCGGUUCAAGACCAUUCUCUUAUCCACAAUCAUAUAUUUCACAGGCUUGGUUCUGUUAACCUUAUCAGUCUCAAUAAUCCCUAUGAGUCACCGUGAAGCUGUG
rnacentral:misc_RNA from 1 species